ACGCACGCUGGCGGCGUGCUUAACACCUGCCAGUCGAACGAAGAGCGAUGGAAGCUUGCUUCUAUCAAUCUUAGUGGCGAACGGGUGAGUAACGCGUAAUCAACCUGCCCUUCAGAGGGGGACAACAGUUGGAAACGACUGCUAAUACCGCAUACGAUCUGACCUCGGCAUCGAGGAUAGAUGAAAGGUGGCCUCUACAUGUAAGCUAUCACUGAAGGAGGGGAUUGCGUCUGAUUAGCUAGUUGGAGGGGUAACGGCCCACCAAGGCGAUGAUCAGUAGCCGGUCUGAGAGGAUGAACGGCCACAUUGGGACUGAGACACGGCCCAGACUCCUACGGGAGGCAGCAGUGGGGAAUCUUCCGCAAUGGACGAAAGUCUGACGGAGCAACGCCGCGUGAGUGAUGACGGCCUUCGGGUUGUAAAGCUCUGUUAAUCGGGACGAAAGGCCUUUUUGCGAAUAGGGAGAAGGAUUGACGGUACCGGAAUAGAAAGCCACGGCUAACUACGUG
rnacentral:rRNA from 1 species